AAAGAACCAAGACAAAGUAACAGUAAUCACUGCCCUGACUAAUCACUUCUAACUCUUCCUCUCUGAUUUUGGAUCAAGUAAGAUGACAUGAUGACACUGACUCCUACAUAUCUUCCUGAAUGACACAGCAUCUUACCAUGCCCUAUAGUUUAUUUCCAGGCAACAGAAAAUUAGUCAGAUAAAGUGUCCCUUGAAUUGUUUGUAGCAUGAUGCUAAACCUGUGAAAUAUCUUUCCUCAUUAACAUACAGACUGUUUGCUUUGAUAGCAACAGUUCAUACUGCUACAAAGGAAAAGCUAAGAGGGUGGGAAAGAUUUGAAACAUUCCUAAGUGAAAUCUGAAGGAUUUUAGCAGGGUUCUUCCCCUCACUGAAAGGUAAGGAAAUCUUGCAAGAAGAGAUUUGUCAUGUAUCAGGAGAGGGAAUGUAACACCCAGCUUUUCCUCCAGAUUUUUUUCCUUGUUUAUAACCACCAUGGCUUACUUCCCAUGAAUGCACUGAUUUUUACUCUUUUUUGUCUGAACAAUUCUCAGGCUGCAAACUCCCUUUGCUGAAACUCUGCACUCAAGCCCUGUACUGAAACUGCAUCUGUUUGGUUUUCCCUUGUGCUGAGCAGCACUGAUGUUUUUAGGUUUCUGACAUACUUUUCAAGCACAACCCAUUUCCCUUUCUCAAAACUGGGAUAUAAAUGUUGUAUCACCUGAGCUGUGUGAAUAUAGCUGACCUUCUCUAGGUACCUUACCAGCAUUACUAUACUAUCUCUCAGAGUCCUGGGUUGUUGUGUAGUCCUAUUUCAAGUCUGACUCUCAACAACACAAGAGGGCUGAUGCAUGGUUGUUUUGAUGGGUUUUUUUUGGUUGUUGUUUUGUUUUUGGUGGGGUUUUUUUUCAGACUAUGGAUGAACUUCAAAAAUAAAUAGAAUAAAUACUCUUCACUUAAAUAUUACAAUCCAUCAAGAAGAAAAAUUUCUCAGUUUAUUACUUCUCCCAGCUCCACUAGCUGGAAACACUUCUCAACAUUUUACGUUGAGGUUGAUGAGCUAGAGUUUAAUCAGAGAAUAUCCCAAGUUGGAAGGUAUGCACACGCACACACAAAAAAAGACAGGAUCUGCCUUUAUUUCUUCUUCUUAAACAGAUUUUUGUUCUGGUUAUGCUUUCCCCCACCUUUUACUAAAUAGAUGGAAGAACUUUCCUUUCAUGAAAGCAAAAUCUUUUUGUCAUGAGUCUGAUAAGAUUAUCAUGUGUCCAAAAUACAGACAUCCAGGUGGUGUGCAGUUUUGCCUGCAUUUGCCUGUUAGAGUUUAUUUCUAAAGGACAGCAGUGUGCUAACUGCAAAAUCUCCUAAGCAUUUUGUCCUAGUACAGAAGUAUGCCUAAGAAAAGCACAGAAUCAUUUAACACUAACACACUAUAUCAAAGGUUGUUUCUUCAUUUUUACUUGCAUUUUAAAUGGAAAAUGAAGAAACAGCCUAGAUGCUGUAAUCCCACAGUUAUCAUUCUUGAUGCAGUCAGUUUAACCUGUUAAGAAUAAAAAUAACAUACAGAUGCAUAUUGGUCACACAGGUCUCUGGUAUGAUUGUUGCCACCAGCAGAUCAAAUUUCAUCUGAGUUUAUUUUCUUGCAUCUGCAACAGGCCUUUACUUUCGCUGCAAUACACUUAGCACGCAAACUAAAAUGAGUAAAAGACUGAAGCCAAGGAGAGACACUACUAGAGAGUCUGCAUAAAGAUUUUAUAUUAUGUUCACAAAACAUGAAACACUAAUAUGAAAUCAGCUUCAUCACUUUGGACUCCAGAUGGCACCAUCAAUUAAAAGCAAACAAACAUAAUAAAAAACUGUAGAACUGUUCAUCUCUGCCUGUAACUAUAAGGACCAUGACUGGAGUCAGAAAACAACUGGGAAAAAAAAAAAAAAAGUGGAUAGAGGUAAUGGGCAGACUGGAUUUAAGAUGAAAAGGAAUUAAACACGACUGAAAUGCUUUUAAAAGAAAGCACUUUUUUUGUUUGUUUGUUUGUUUUUUUUGUUUGUUUUGCUUUUAAUUAAUCACUGCUCAAAGAACAAAUUAACAAUUCACGGUGUGGAAGACAGUUUACUCAUCUCAAUUCAGCAGCCCACAGUAAGCUUGCCCCAGAUGGGAGAGCCAGGAGCCAUGGCACACUCACUAAUUCCAUAAGAGGCAGCUCCUUGUAACUUGGCUUCCACCCUAUUCCUAACCCAUCAGAGAGGUGUAUCAGCAUUACCUGCCUCAGCGUUAAGGAAGAAAUCAGUAAUAUCUUGCUUCUUGAGAAGGAAAUUCAGCAGGAGUCAGGAGACAAUGAGAAUACAAAACCUCUAAUUUAGAAAAGAAAAACCAAAUUUAACACUUAAAUGAAGUUGCCAAUGCUAGCCUGGAGGCCAAACCCUCCAAGUGCUUUGAUCAGUGUUGUAAGGGAUUGAAUACAUGCGAGAUUAGCUGACAGUGGAACUAUGCUGAAAAUUAAGACAGGGUAAAGGAUAUUCCAUUUGAUAAUUCCCUGAUUAUAAAGAGACUGGCACAUAUAUGCAGGUACAUACACAAAGUACAAAGAUAAAGAGACACUGAGAGGAGUUCAAGAAUAUUGAAUGAUUCCUGCCAAUGUGAACCAUUCUUUGUUCUCUGAGACCUGGAAGAUUAUCUAUUAGACAAAGCCUGUCAGCCUCUCAUUGGAAGAGGUGUUGUUAACAAUAUUGUUACCAAAAUUAAAAAAUAAACCAUUUAUCGGAGUUUUGCACAAACAAACUAUGAAGACAGUAAGGACUGACCCUACAAACAAACAACAUUUUUUCACAAUAAUUAACCAUGACCUAACCCAAUAUUGUGUUUAACUACAUCCAAAUGAAAACCUAAACAAAAAUUAAUGUUAAAAACAUUAAACUGAAUGUACAACCUUUCUUUCAUUGUAGAACUAAACAAGUUACAGUCCCAGACUCUCCUAUACACGUUAGGCAAGACCCGUUUUCAACACAUUUGUUCUUGAGAGAGUUACCAAGAUAACAGUGUAAGAAGUUUCAACAAAGCAGAACAGAAUUUCAGCUCUUCAGGAUGAUUCUAAAAUCCUUUUAUUUGUUUGUUUUUUUGUUUUUAGUGUAUCACACCAGAACUAAAAACAUUUAACUAGUAAUUCUGUCUAGGUAAGAAUGUUUGAGACUCAGAUUUAAUGUUAAGCAAAGUAACUGGUUGCUACAUGUCUGAAGAGCUAUUUUGCAUUUAGCCUGAGAUGCGGAAUAUACUGUUAAAAAGCCUUAGUAAAUUAUAGUAAACCAAGUAAAUAGCUGUGAAGUAAGCAGUUUAUAUUCCAAGUUCAUUUAAUCUCUGAAGAAAGCAGGCUGAAUAAAUAUAAGGCUUUGUUUUUGAUUUAUACAAAGAAGAAUCUCUUUAUGUAUAAACCCCUGAAUUGGCAUGUUUACUUCAAUUGUAAGUUGUGACAGGAAAGCAAAUCUUUUGUGGCUUUAAUCAGAAGCAUUAGGGCUUGAAGUCUGAACAACUGUUUACUAUUCCACUAUCUGAUAAAACUUCAGAACCCUAGGGAAACUAAUUGAAAGGAAAGACCUGAGACUUAGACAAGCCACUGCAAAUCUAAAACUAGUCAGUCAAGAUGGAAAUGAGAGUUUCAGUUUACCAAUAAAUCUCUAUCGGAACAGUGGUGUUACAAUUAAUGAACAUUAACGAAUAGAAGAACAUGAUAACCAUUUCAAAUCCCUUGAUUUGUAAGGCUAAAAACACAAUAGCAAUUGAAGGAAAACAGGUUUCAGGAUAAUUUUAGGUAGCAAUGAAUACUACAUCGUAAAGAAAAAGAAAGUGUGCCUGACUCUAAGUACUAGUUAAAUGAGUAACACCAGUCUGCUAAAUUGAGUUUUGAUGUAUUCAACUAGAUUUAAGUGGAAUCUUCAAGGUGUUGAGGCACUUAAAGUGUUAGGAAAAAAAGAUUUAUUAGACCCUUAUUCAGCAAAACAUUUAAGUAUCUAAUUUAAUCCUUCCCUAUUCAGCAAAGUACAUAUUCAUUUAUGUGCCUGGCAUUAUACAGACUAUUGUACAAAAAAGAGGGAAUUUUGAAAAAAAUGAUCCUUAAAAAGAAUCAAAUUAAAAACAGAAGUGGAAGUAAGCAUUCUUAUUUUAUUCAAACACAUUUCAGUUUUCUUAGAGUUCUUUAAAAUGUUGUGGCACUCCUUACAGUGCAUUGGACAAAAUAAGGAACCCCUUUAAAAAUGAAGAAUACAGAAGUAAUGCUAAACUUUGGUAUAUUAAGCAUGCAAACACUGUUCGGCAACCAAGUAAGAAUUCAAAAGAAAAGAGGAAAAAAAAAAAAAAAACAAACCAUAAGAAAUAGAUGUUUUUUUCCACAUACAUCAACAACAGAAAUCUUUCUGAAAAAAGUCUGUAAGGUCAACACCCAUACUCCAACAGAAACAUUUAGAGAAGAUAACACUAUUUCUGAGAAGCAGUAUUCUUCACAUACGGUCCCUGUGGCAGAGACAGAAGAGAUACUUGCACCAGAAUCAUUCUCUGUAGAGGGCUCAAAGGAUCUGUCUGAAACUGAAGUGACUACAAAUCGUUUGCUGAAUGUUUUGACAUUACGAAUAGCAUCAAGUCACAAGGACUAAGUGGUACUCAUCCAAGACUUCAAGAGCCAAAUUAUUCACAGAAGUAAAUAAUCUUUCAUUUAAAUCACUUCAGCAUCUAAGUAUUGGGGUUGGGGGGUGGAACAUGGUACCAAAUUUUAGAAAGAUGACAGGAGAGACUUGAGAAAUAGUGUCUGGAAGUCUGACAUCUGUAGAAAUCAUAAAAAAAAAAAACAAAAAACAAAAAAACAAAAAAACAAGAAAACCCUGAUAAUGGACAUCUGGAUAAAAAUAAUGUACUUUUAGAGAGUCAACAUUGCCUUCUAUUAAAGGAAAUUGCCCCUCAUAAACCUAAAGGAAGUCUCCAACAAUGUCACCUCUAUGCAGUUAAAGUGAUCCAGAUGAUAAAAGUCUUCAAGUACUUCAAAGAGGCUUUCAACAAAAUUCUCCAUCAAGGCUUUGAAGGAAACUAAGAAGCCAUAGCAUAAGAGGGAACGUCACAGAUAAAUGAUUGGUUAAAGAUAGGAAACAAAAUGUAGGAGUAAAUGAUCUGCCCUCAUGAAGAAAAGAGGUCACUAAUGGCAUUCUGCAGGAAUCUGUAUUGUGACUACUGAACAUUCAAAAGAGGAAAAGGGAAUGAGCACCUAUGCGACAGAAGUUCAACAUUAUGAAGUCAUUCAAAGCAUUAAGGACAAAGAGUAACUGCAAAGAACUGCAGAAAGACUUUAAGAUGGAGCAGCUGGGCACUAAAGCCAGAAAAAAACUCAAAGAGGAAAAGUGAUGCAUGUUGGGCUAUUAGCACUCAGGACAAAGACAUUGGGAGUUAUUAUACAUAGUUCCAUGAAAAUAUGAGCAGAGCAGCAGUCCAAAAGACAAGGCAAAUUUUAACCAUUUGUAUAACAACACAAAGAGAAAGCAGCCCAAGCAACCAGGGUAAUACACUAUUCCUUGAUAUCUUGAAUAUUGUGUAUAGUUCUGGUCCUCCCAUCUCAAGGAAUAAAAAUUGACCUUGAAAAGGUUCAGAGGAGAGCAUUAAGCAUUAUUAAAUCUAUGAAAAGUCUUCCUCAUGAGGAAUGAUCAAAUAACUGAAGGCUCUUGAGCCUGGUAAGGAGAAGACUAAGAGAGGAUACAACACAAGUCUGUAACUGUGAUUGGUGUUGAGGUGGCUUUGUAUCAAUUUGUUCACUGAUAUUUAUUUAUUUGUUUGUUUGUUUGUUGUAUGAGAACUAGAUGGCAUCAAGUAGAUAACCAGGAUUCAGGUUCCAACCUACAUCAUUCUAAUAUUAAUGCAAUAUGUCAUUAGGAUAUAUAACUCCUUGCCAAAGAACAUCAUUAAUGCCAGAAGUUUAUAUGGGUUCAGUAAGAGUCUGGAUGAACCUGCAGAAGAGAAAUCCUAUAUUAAUCAGGGAUUACACUUGGUUAACUAAGUAUCCAAAGCAAAAACAAUUGAAACCAGAGUACUUGUUGUCAAACUCAACUAUGAGAGGUGCCUUGUCUUUCUUUUCUCCAAGCAUCUAUUCACAGAUACUCUGGAAAAUGUCCUUAUGGGGUCCUAAUCUCCAGUGACAUGUAACCUGCCUGACACUUUCUCAGACUGUGAUCUGUGUUCAGUGUACACAACCUUCUGGGGGGCUACUGGAGGGAAAUCUACUGUAUCCCUGUUCCCCGUUGACCAGAAGCCUGGCCUGGCCUUCAGCACAUGCCAGAGGGCACCUACUCCUAUACUUAUACUGCUUUCUGGACUGACCUGUAACUGGAAUCCUAAACAAAGCCCUAGACCUGACACCAAUGCAAGAAGGUAUGACAACAAAUGGAACAGACAUCCUGUGUUACCAGAGAUAAUGACAUCCCUUUAUUUCUUUAAUAAUGACAUAAUAAAAAUCAUUAUCCUUUGAUAAUAAUUGUCUCUGUUUUCUGCUACAUACAGAAAUAUUCAGGGAACUAGAACAGGAUGAAGAA